rnacentral:rRNA from 1 species
UACAGAGGGUGCAAGCGUUGUUCGGAAUUAUUGGGCGUAAAGCGCGUGUAGGCGGCUUUGCAAGUCGGGUGUGAAAGCCCUCAGCUCAACUGAGGAAGUGCGCCCGAAACUGCAGAGCUUGAGUGCCGGAGAGGGUGGCGGAAUUCCCCAAGUAGAGGUGAAAUUCGUAGAUAUGGGGAGGAACACCGGUGGCGAAGGCGGCCACCUGGACGGCAACUGACGCUGAGACGCGAAAGCGUGGGGAGCGAACAGG